rnacentral:misc_RNA from 1 species
CAACACUAUUAUUCAGCCAAGAGAGCUACUUUUCUCGGUGGCUCUUGUGCUAGAAAAGAGUGUGCUGGAACUGGCGUUUUCUUGCCUCGCAGAUGUGUCAUUCCCGCUGAUUGUAAGAAGAAAUCAGCUUGCUCUGGUCCAAGCCAAGGUUGUUCAGGCUCUAGAUUUGAACCUUAAGGACAUGAACAUCCAAGAUGCUUUGAUGGCAAGAAAUGGGCUAUUGGCGCAACAGAAGGGAAAUUUACAGGCAGAGAGUGUCCUCAAUAAUCAAGAAAUUUGCUUACCUCAAGAGUGGAUGUAUUGAC